rnacentral:RNase_P_RNA from 1 species
CGAGUUGGCAAGACGAUCGCGGCCGCUUCGGCGGUCGAGGAAAGUCCGGACUCCGCAGGGCAUGACGCUGGGUAACACCCAGGCGGGGCAACCCGAUGGAUAGUGCAACAGAGAGCAGACCGCCGAUGGCCCAGAGCGCAAGCCGAGGAGCACAGGCAAGGGUGAAACGGUGGGGUAAGAGCCCACCAGCGGCUCGGGUGACCGGGUCGGCUUGGUAAACCCCGUCAGGAGCAAGACCGAGCAGGGACAGGGCUGCCCGUCCGAUACGUCCCGGGUAGGUCGCUUGAGGCCGUGCGGUAACGCCGGUCCCAGAUAGAUGAUCGUCCACGACAGGAUCCGGCUUACAUGCCGACUCGCGAG